CAGGAAGCCAAUCCCAACAACAUGAAACUACCUAAACCACGGAUCAGCUGCGCGUUACGGCGUUAUCCACAGGACACGAGAAGACAAGCAACAGACUCUGCACAUUUAAAAUGAUUUGCUGGCGACAAAGACGAACUUCAUCUCUAGCGUUGGAUAGGACCUUCCAAGAUCCUGCUCCUCGGUGUGGCAAUAGCCUACAAGAGAAAGACAUUCAGCACUGUUACGUCACUGAGCCAGGGCCAAGCUGUGAAUGAGAGGGACAAACCUCCUCCACUGGCGAUAUUGCUUGCGUGGAUUCCCUGCGAUCCAAGGGUUUGUGGGUCGCUUGCUGAAGACUUCCCUCCUUCGUUGAGCACUGAAGAACUGGAGUCAGACUCC